GAUUCCACCUGUUGGAUAUCCCAUACACAGGGAAAGGAAUCCUCCUUGUCCUGUAGCCACUUUUCUUUAUAUUUACCCCUUGUCUCCUCCACAUCCUCUCCCUUCCACACCAACAGUUUCUGGUGCUGAAAUGUUCUGACUUCAGAGAGGCCUGAAGGAAGUGAGUGACGACAGGAUAUCCAUGCUGAGAAACUGGGAGCAUGGAUAUUUGGAAAAGAAAUACAGGCUUAGCAGCAGUGGAGUAAGCAUCUACAUGAAGUAUACUCAGCUCAUCCCUGGAAUCACUCUACCUCGGGUAACAGUGAGGUAUCAAGGAGGUAUUUUGCUCUUUCUACGAAAUUUUUGAGAAGAAACUUCCUGUAACAUCUGACAAGACCACGCACCACCCCCAGGAGAGCUGUUCUCAUCCAGGCAGGGGACUCAUGAGCACGAAGGAACCUCUGCUCCUCUGGCUCAGGCCACAGCACAAAUCCACUCUGCAGAGGGUGCAAUAGUGGAUACCACUGCUCAAGGCAGCAUAAGGAAAUGCUAAAGAAAUGCAACUUCUUUAACAUUUCCUGGCCCCUGGAAGUGAGGAUUGGGCUUUCAGGGGUCAUUCUGAAGGAGGGUGGUGGGAGAUGCCUUUUGAUGCCCAAGGGAUCGCAUGUCUUGUAAAAAGGGUGGAGGGCAGUAGGAAGACCGGAAUGGUGCCAGAGUGUCAGAGGCUUGUCUCAUCGAUGGCUGAUUGAGCAAGGAGACUUUGCAAACCUCUCUCAGGCACUUUGUACUCGAAGAUGAGGGAUACACAGUCACUGAAGAAGGAGGCUGAUCAAACUACUCUUACCAUGAAGAAGAUACUGUGGAUCUGUAAUCCAGGCAGUGCUGAUUAUUGCUUGUAGCCUCUUUGUUUUGUAAAUGAACACAAAAAGUGCAGUGUCCUCUUAAGAAUUAGGGUGCAGCUCCAUGUUAAGGAUCCUUCAUUAGCAGAUCCAAAAUACCCUCUCUAUACCCUGUCCCUGCUCCCAAGCAAGGGGGCUGCCUCUGCUGCCAUGCCUAUUCCUGGUGUGACCAAGAGUGGUGAAAAUAGGUAAAUUAUAGCAAGAAGUGCAUAGAAAAAUAGAUAGAUAAUAGGAAAAAAGUGCUUCUUUAGGACCAGGCCAUUCUACGUCUCUGUGUUAACUGAGCUGGUGCAAAGGAGAGAGAUAACUGAACUUCCUAGGGGAUGGGAGGUGGCAGGGGUGAGUGUGGAUGGUGGGGGCAGGGGCAGAAACUUCUAACAAAUGCUGCUGCCAAAGGACUGAAAACAUCAUAAUCCACUCUUAAUUUAUUGGGAUGGAUUUUGUCUAACUCUACUAAAAAACAGGUGUGCAUAUGGACACUGGGCAUGUCUGGAGAGCAAGAGCCCUAUCCCAUGUAAUAAAUCAGCUCCUUGCUGCUGAGAUGCUCUUUCUGUCCUCUGUGAGGGAGUCCAGAUGCCCAGCUGACCCAACUGCCUAACUCUUCGAUUGCUAAAGUGAGCUCAGAUGAGUCUGCUCUUACCCUUUAUUUAUGUUCAUGUAUUGUCUGAGUUUACAAAUAAAUCCACUAAGUAGUUUGAUUAUGAACAGAUUCUGUAAGCACCUAACAUUGGACCUAUGUUAACGAUGGAAAAAAAGAAAAAUCUUUGUAGGUUACACUGUUAAAGAAAUAUGAUCAUCCUCCAUUUUGUGUCAUUUGCCAAAUGUAGUUUCUUGCCAACACUGAAAAAUCAUGUUCUGCUGGAGGAAAUUCCUUAAAGGCUUGCCAUCUCUCAACAUCACUUCUCUCUUCUAUUGUUUCUAGAAGGAAUAAAACUCCAGAGUGCUUUAAGCAAAAACGACCACUGCUUCUCUUUGUCAUUUGAACAGAGCUUAACCUCUUUUCUAAGGACAGCUUGCUUUCAUUCUCCAGAG